rnacentral:rRNA from 1 species
GAUGAACGCUAGCUACAGGCUUAACACAUGCAAGUCGAGGGGAAACGACAUUGAAGCUUGCUUCGAUGGUCGUCGACCGGCGCACGGGUGAGUAACGCGUAUCCAACCUGCCUCUGACCAAGGGAUAACCCGUCGAAAGUCGGCCUAAUACCUUAUGCAGUCGUCGGAAGUCAUCUGAUGACGACGAAAGAUUUCAUCGGUGAGAGAUGGGGAUGCGUCUGAUUAGCUUGUUGGCGGGGUAACGGCCCACCAAGGCAACGAUCAGUAGGGGUUCUGAGAGGAAGGUCCCCCACAUUGGAACUGAGACACGGUCCAAACUCCUACGGGAGGCAGCAGUGAGGAAUAUUGAUCAAUGGGCGAGAGCCUGAACCAGCCAAGUAGCGUGCAGGAUGACGGCCCUAUGGGUUGUAAACUGCUUUUAUGCGGGGAUAAAGUGAGGGACGUGUCCUUCAUUGCAGGUACCGCAUGAAUAAGGACCGGUUAAUUCCGUG